rnacentral:rRNA from 1 species
AUUGAACGCUGGCGGCAGGCCUAACACAUGCAAGUCGAACGAGUGGCGGACGGGUGAGUAAUGUCUGGGAAACUGCCUGAUGGAGGGGGAUAACUACUGGAAACGGUAGCUAAUACAGCAUAACGUCGGAUGUGCCCAGAUGGGAUUGGCUAGUAGGUGGGGUAAAGGAUCACCUAGGCGACGAUCCCUAGCUGGUCGGAGAGGAGUACCAGCAACACUGGAACUGCGACACGGUCCAGACUCCUACUGGAGGCAGCAGUGGGGAAUAUUGCACAAUGGGCGCAAGCCUUAUGCAGCCAUGCCGCGUGUAUGAAGAAGGCCUUCGGGUUGUAAAGUACUUUCAGCGGGGAGGCGUUACCCGCAGAAGAAGCACCGGCUAACUCCGUGCCAGCAGCCGCGGUAAUAC